AGUGAACGCUGGCGGCGUGGAUUAUGCAUGCAAGUCGCGCGAUCCUUGUUGGAUUUUUACUGGGAGUGCUUGCACAAAGGUAAAAAACCGACGCGGGAUAGCGGCAAACGGGUGAGUAACGCGUGAGCAACUUUCCCUUAAGACAGACAUAGCUUCGUGAAAACGGAGGUAAUUUCUGAUAGUACCUUAUUAUCGCAUGGUGAUGAGGUUAAAGGUGGGGAUCCUUUUAGGACCUGCCGUUUAAGGAUGGGCUCGCGUCCUAUCAGCUUGUUGGUGAGGUAACGGCUCACCAAGGCAUUUGACGGGUAGCUGGUCUGAGAGGAUGGUCAGCCACACUGGGACUGAGACACUGCCCAGACUCCUACGGGAGGCUGCAGUCGAGAAUCUUUAGCAAUGGACGAAAGUCUGACUAUGCGACGCCGCGUGAGGGAUGAAGGCCUUCGGGUUGUAAACCUCUUUUGACAGGAAAGAAACUCUUAUUGUUAAUAGCAAUAAGACUGACGGUACCUGUUGAAUAAGCCACGGCCAACUCCGUGCCAGCAGCCGCGGUAAUACGGAGGUGGCGAGCGUUACUCGGAAUUAUUGGGUGUAAAGGGCAGGUAGGCGGUCUUUCAAGUGAGAGGUGAAAUUUCCCGUUUCAAGCGGGAAACUGCCUUUCAAACUGUAAGACUUGAGGAUGGAAGAGGGAAAUGGAAUUCCCGGUGUAAGGGUGAAAUCUGUAGAUAUCGGGAAGAACACCAGUGGCGAAGGCGAUUUCCUGGUCCAUCUCUGACGUUGAACUGCGAAAGCUAGGGGAGCGAACAGAAUUAGAUACUCUGGUAGUCCUAGCUGUAAACGAUGAGCACUAGGCGUUGGUCCUUCAUUGGGUCAGUGCCGUAGCUAACGCGUUAAGUGCUCCACCUGGGGACUACGGUCGCAAGGCUAAAACUCAAAGGAAUUGACGGGGACCCGCACAAGCGGUGGAACAUGUGGUUUAAUUCGAUGCUACGCGAAGAACCUCACCAGGGCUUGACAUGUAAGCAGCAGUGAACUGAAAGGGAAUCGACCUGUCAAGUCAGGAACUUACACAGGUGCUGCAUGGCUGUCGUCAGCUCGUGUCGUGAGAUGUUGGGUUAAGUCCCGCAACGAGCGCAACCAUCGCUCUUAGUUGCUAAUUUAUUAUCCUUCGGGAUAAUAAAAGCACUCUAAGAGGACUGCUUGGGAUAACCAGGAGGAAGGUGGAGAUGACGUCAAGUCAGUACGGCCCUUAUGCCCUGGGCCACACACGUGUUACAAUGGUCGAUACAAAGGGUUGCCAACCCGUAGGGGGGAGCUAAUCCCAAAAAAUCGACCUCAGUUCGGAUUGGAGUCUGCAAUUCGACUCCAUGAAGCUGGAAUCGCUAGUAAUGGGAGAUCAGCACGCUCCCGUGAUACGUUCCCGGGUCUUGUACACACCGCCCGUCAAGCGAUGGGAGCCGGGGGUACCCGAAGCC
rnacentral:rRNA from 1 species